rnacentral:lncRNA from 10 species
AGAGUGAAACUCCAUCUCAAAAAAAUUAAUUAAUUAAUUAAAAUUAACCGAGUGUGGUGGCACAUGACUAUAAUCCCAGGAAGAGUCCACCAGAUAUCACUGCCGUGUUGUUCCACUAGUUUAACAAUAUGCUCAGUGGUUUGGCUAUUUCAGGGGGGACAUGGCAGAAUUAUUCAAUUAACUAUUGUGAUGAAUAACAAACAUUUUAAAAUUAAGAAAUAGUGAUUUAUUUUCCUUUUUCCUCAAACCUUAGUUUGAAGAAAAAGCUGCUAUCAUUUUAAAUUCAAUAUAAAUAAAAAAUUGAUUAUACAUAUCCUUAAAAAGAAAAAACAUCUGUUUCCGUUGGCAUGGUGGCAGGCGCCUGUAGUCCCAGCUACUCGAGAGACUGAGGCAGGAGAACCCAUGAACCCAGGAGGCAGAGCUUGCAGUGAGCCAAGAUCGUGCCACUGUACUCCAGCCUGGGCAACAGAGCGAGACUCCGUCUUAAAAAAAAAAUAAAAAUAAAAUAAAAAAUAAAAAAAUUAUGGCCUGACACAGUGAGGGCUCACGCCUGUAAUUCCAG